UACGUAGGGUGCAAGCGUUGUCCGGAAUCAUUGGGCGUAAAGCGCGCGUAGGUGGCUUCGUAAGUCCGUUGUGAAAGUCAAAGGCUCAACCUUUGAAAGCCGAUGGAUACUGCGGAGCUAGAGUACGGAAGAGGCGAGUGGAAUUCCUGGUGUAGCGGUGGAAUGCGCAGAUAUCAGGAGGAACACCAAUAGCGAAGGCAGCUCGCUGGGACGUUACUGACACUAAGGCGCGAAAGCGUCGGGGAGCGAACAGG
rnacentral:rRNA from 1 species